UACAGAGGGUGCAAGCGUUGUUCGGAAUUAUUGGGCGUAAAGCGCGUGUAGGCGGCCAUGCAAGUCGGGUGUGAAAGCCCUCAGCUCAACUGAGGAAGUGCGCCCGAAACUGCAAGGCUUGAGUACCGGAGAGGAUGGCGGAAUUCCCGAAGUAGAGGUGAAAUUCGUAGAUAUCGGGAGGAACACCGGUGCGAAGGCGGCCAUCUGGACGGAUACUGACGCUGAGACGCGAAAGCGUGGGUAGCAAACAGG
rnacentral:rRNA from 1 species